UGCCGAAUGCUGAGGUCUGAAUCUGAGGGAAAGUAUUGACAAACUGGAUUGCAUGCCCAAGUAGAUGACGGAAAUAUAGAUUGUUGACUAGUCUAUUUGCAAGUAGGAAUUUAUUUCCUUUUGCGUAGCCUCAAAGUCAGUUCCAAUAUCUGAUCUAUUUAGGGCUACAUUUAUAGAACAAGAACCUAGAAUUUUUAAUUCUCUUUAAAUUUGUUUUUCCAGAAGUCAUUGUUAAUGAAUGCACUUUAUAGGACAAUGAUCUUUUAAAGUAAAUUACUGGCUGAAAAUAAAGCCUUUCCUCACUUAGUAUACCAAACUCUAUAGCAUACAGUCAAAGGAGUCUACUAUUAAUGGAAUUUAAGAUUGGGGUCUUCAUUAAAAGCAUGAAGUUGUUGAUGUAAUUGUCACUCUCCCUGCAACAGAAAAGAAUGAAAUGUUUUGCCUCAUUUUCUUAGCCAGACAGAAAGAAUGAAGUGAUGCAUUCACUGUCUACUGGUCACCAUCUCUAAAUAUUAACAAUGGCUUCAGAGGAAGAAAGAUGCAGGAAGUUUUUUUUUUUAAUGAGAAAAACCACAAAAUGUAAGAAUGACAAGAGCCCAGCAUACUUCACAAAUGCUUUAAAAUGACUCAUCAGACAAAUAUGUGUGGCAUUCCAAGAUUCCACCAGAUGGCUGGUUUGGUGUCAGGCUUUAUUCCCUACUACCUAAGUGAAGGAGCUUUGAUUCCAUCUGUGUAUGAGGGCUUCUGGCAUGGAAACUCCCUCCAUGGUUGUAAAUAGGAAAUUCUUCACUAACUAAUGUCUUGGACAAGGAGAAGUUAAACAAUUUGCCCAGUACCACAUAGCUAAUACAUAUUAGAGACAUAAAUUAUACUUAGGACUUUUUGGCUCCAAGAUCAUCCUACAUCCUUUGCAUCAUGGAGCCUCUACACUCCAUUUCAUAGGUGGGAAAACUAAGACUGAAAGAGAUUUUGGGACCAACUUGGGAUCACAAAGCUAUGUAAGCCUUGAGCCCAAGUCUUCUGAAUCAAGGACCAUUCUCAACUCUCUGCCAACUCUACUAUUUUGUCUCUGAAGCAGCUUUGAGGAGCCUUAAUGGAAAGCAAGAAGCAGUGCAAGCCAGAAAAGUCAAACCACUAUCACAACUUUGAAUGCUUUCUCCAAAGGAGUCCAAUAGAGAGUGUCUAGGAGCCUGAAUCCAAGUGCCCUAGAAAUAAUGAUCCCCACAUAUAAUCUGAUCUGUUUCUAGCCAAAGAUCCUCGAGUCAUCCCUGAAGGGAGCAAUCAAUGUUUAGAAGAUUUUUAUUUCCCUUAACACCACCAAUAUAAACUGACAGGAAGCAAGACUAAGAGCUCAGAGAAUGAGUAGCAAUACCCCUACAUGUACCAGUCCUGCUUCCAGCCCCUAAAGUCAUCAUCAUCCCAGGAAAUAAUCCUUGCAUAGAGAACUUAUUAAAUCAGAUACAUUAGAUUGUGAAGUCCUUGAGGGAAAGGGCUGUCUUUGCCUUUUUAUUUUAUCCCUAGCACAAAGCACAGUUCUUGGUAUAUAGUGG
ensembl:lncRNA